UGGCGGACGGGUGAGUAACGCGUGGGUAACCUGCCUCAUACAGGGGGAUAACAGUUAGAAAUGACUGCUAAUACCGCAUAAGACCACAGCACCGCAUGGUGCAGGGGUAAAAACUCCGGUGGUAUGAGAUGGACCCGCGUCUGAUUAGCUAGUUGGUAAGGUAACGGCUUACCAAGGCGACGAUCAGUAGCCGACCUGAGAGGGUGACCGGCCACAUUGGGACUGAGACACGGCCCAA
rnacentral:rRNA from 1 species